rnacentral:rRNA from 1 species
GGGAUGGCGGCAGCUACCAUGCAGUCGGACGGUAGCACAGAGAACUUGGUCCCGUGUGAGAAGUGUGGGACGGGUGAGUAAUGUGUGGGGAUCUGCCCCAUAUAGGGGGAGAACCCCUGUGAACGGUGGCUAAUACCCCAUAACGUCUCAAGACCAAAAAGGGGGACCUUCUGGCCUCUCUCUAUCUCAUGAGCCCCCAUGGGAUUAUCUAUUAUGCGGGGUAAUGGGCCCCCUAUGCGACAAUCCCCAUCUGGGCUGAGAGGAUGACCCCCCCCACUGUAACUGAGACACGGUCCCCACUCCCACAGGAGGCGCCACUGGGGAAUAUUGUGCAAUGUGCGCAAGCCUGAUGCGCCCCUGCCCCGUGUAUAAAAAAAGCCUUCUCGUUGUAAAGUACUUUCUCCGCGGAGAAAAGCGACAGGGUUAAUAACCCCGUCUAUUGAGGUUUCCCCCACAAAAAACACCGGCUAUAUCCCUGCCCCCACCCGCGGUAAUACAGAGGGUGUGCGCGUUUUUCUCAAUUAUUGUGCGUAAAGCGCACACACGCGGUCUGUUAAAUCUCAUAUGAAAUCUCCGGGCUCAACCUGUGAACUGCGUUUUAAACUGUGACGCUUGAGUCUCGUGUAGAGGGGUAUAAAUCUACGUGUGUCGCUGAAAUGCGUAUAGAUCUGGAGAAAUACCGGUGUCGAAAGCGCCCCCCUGUGCAAAGACAGACACU